ACGAAGGGGGCUAGCGUUGUUCGGAAUUACUGGGCGUAAAGCGCACGUAGGCGGGUAUUUAAGUCAGGGGUGAAAUCCCGGAGCUCAACUCCGGAACUGCCUUUGAUACUGGGUACCUAGAGUAUGGAAGAGGUAAGUGGAAUUCCGAGUGUAGAGGUGAAAUUCGUAGAUAUUCGGAGGAACACCAGUGGCGAAGGCGGCUUACUGGUCCAUUACUGACGCUGAGGUGCGAAAGCGUGGGGAGCAAACAGGA
rnacentral:rRNA from 1 species